UUGCCUCAGUAACGGCGAGUGAAGCGGCAACAGCUCAAAUUUGAAAGCCCGCGGGCGUUGUAAUUUGCAGGCGGAUGUUUUGGGGCGGGCGCUGUCUACGUUCCUUGGAACAGGACGCCGCAGAGGGUGAGAGCCCCGUGCGAUGGCGCCUCUAACCGCGUAAAACUCCGCCGACGAGUCGAGUUGUUUGGGAAUGCAGCUCCAAGUGGGUGGUAAAUUCCAUCUAAAGCUAAAUACUGGCGAGAGACCGAUAGCGAACAAGUACAGUGAUGGAAAGAUGAAAAGCACUUUGAAAAGAGAGUGAAACAGCACGUGAAAUUGUUGAAAGGGAAGGGUAUGCGAUUAGCGGCCAGCAGGAGGUGCUUUCUCGUGAAAAGGCCGUGCACCGUCUUCGGACACCGUGCGCGGAGAUGGCGAGGGGGCGCCUGAGGUCUGCGAACUCGAGGUUGCUGGCGUAAUGAUUGCAUACCACCCGUCUAA
rnacentral:rRNA from 1 species